rnacentral:rRNA from 1 species
GAUGAACGCUGGCGGCGUGCUUAACACAUGCAAGUCGAACGAUGAAGGCCAGCUUGCUGGUGGGUUUAGUGGCGAACGGGUGAGUAACACGUGAGUAACCUGCCCUUAACGCUGGGAUACGCCCGGGAAACGGGGUCUAAUACCGAAUAGUACCGCCUACCGAAGUGGGGGAGUUGGGAAGAUUACUCGGUUUUGGGUGGACUCGCGGCCUAUCAGCUUGUUGGUGGGGUAAUGGCUCACCAAGGCCACGACGGGUAGCCGGCCUGAGAGGGUGACCGGCCACACUGGGACUGAGACACGGCCCAGACUCCUACGGGAGGCAGCAGUGGGGAAUAUUGCACAAUGGGCGAAAGCCUGAUGCAGCGACGCCGCGUGAGGGAUGAAGGCCUUCGGGUUGUAAACCGCUUUCAGUAGGGACGAAGCGAAAGUGACGGUACCUGCAGAAGAAGCACCGGCUAACUACGUG